AUGUUCACUAAGGAGGAAAAAGGUGCAUGUCCCGGUUUUUUUGGUGAUGGCAACGGCAUAUUUCCUUCAGUGAAGGAAGGAAUUCUCUGCCGGAAGCUUGGCACAGUCUGUACGAUAUCGAAGACUGUUGAUCUUUGGUCUGUUCACCAUGUUAUGCAUGCCCACUUAAAAAUGAACGAGGCUAAGCUGCAGCUGCAGCUGCAGGUAUAUCUCCUUAAAAUACCCAUGGUGUCAGACGUGUUUUAUUCCACUACAACCAAGAAGAUAAACGUGGCAGCUGAGCCUAUAGUUCCUGCUGAGGAACAUCCCAAGGUUGAUAGUGACACUGCAGAUGGAGCUUCUCUAACCGCUAUUGAAGACACCGUUGUUCAUUUUAACCAGCCAAAGACAAAAGCGCUAUUAUGUAGGCAUGCUUUAAAAACUAGAGUCUUUGUCUGGUCGAGGAGCCUUGCCAAAGCGUUAGUGGAAUCUCUCCGAGUGGUAUGA
rnacentral:rRNA from 1 species